CAAGGUAGGCAAAUUGGGCGCAAAUUGAAGGCUGUGCGCAAGGGGAAGGAUUUGUUGCGAAAUUCCCCAUUUUUGAGUGGUAAUGCGCAAAUUGGGCCUGUCAAAUGAGUCACCUGGUGGACCUUACUCCAUAAAACUGUGCCAUUUUAUUAAAUGGUCAUUUAAGACCCCUUUUCUUCUAUUUCUUUUCCCCAAACGCAGCCUCCAUUUUAGAUCAAAAGAAAUUCCAGCCUUUAAAAUCAAAUUUUUUAGGGUUUCCUCCACUUGACUGCCAAACCACCAUGAUUUUAGGUGAUUACCAGUAAGCGAGACGUGCCCAAUCUUGCCGUUAAAGGAACUCGACCAGAUCUAAAAGGAUUCGGUACAGAGUCUGUUGGCAUGCGCACGGGGUGGGGGCGUGGCGUACGAGGGCUGUGGAGGUAUGGGACUGCUGUAGUGGAGGUAUGGGUCUAUUGCCCAGUUGCUGUUGAGGCGCAGGAGAGAGGGGUGACUUAGGGUUUGCCGAAACUUGGCUCAAUUUUUGGGGCCGUUUGGGUCUGUUCCAGCUAUUGGGCCGUUGUAUUUGGGCUAUGGGGCAUUGGGUAUCAAUAUUGGUUGUAAUAUUUGGACCUUUAUGACAGAUUAUUAGUUUGGUUUCAUUCUUUGGACUUUUGGUUUAAUAA